GGUGGGGCAGAUGAUUGGGGUGAAGUCGUAACAAGGUAUCCCUACCGGAAGGUGGGGAUGGAUCACCUCCUUUCU
rnacentral:rRNA from 2 species